AAUCAAGGAAUUUCAGAGGAUGGUCUUUCACUGAGUGGAAGGCAAGCUAAUAGUCAAAACCCUACCAGUGAUGAACAUUCUCAAACCUUAUCUGAGAAAGAAAACGAAGCCAGCCUUUCUCAAAUUGAAGGUUGCUUCAAGGAGCAAACUCAUCUAUAGGUUGAUCCACAUCUAGAAGAUAAUGAAACAAAGGCACUAGGACAUCUCUCUGCAGAGGAGCAUGACGACGAGGAAAGAUUCAAAGCUGAUCGUACAAAAGCUAUACAAGAGAGCCUUGGCGCAACAAACCAAGGAAUUUCGGAGGAUAGUCUUUCACCAAGUGGAAGGCAAGCUCAUAGUCAAAGCCCUGCCAGUGAUGGACAUUCCCAAACCUUAUCUGAGAACGAACACCAUGAGGACAACCCUUCUCAAAUUGAUGAGGAAAGAUUUGAAGCUGACCUUAUAACAGCUGUGCAAGAGAGCCUUGGUAAAUAUCAUAUCACUUUACACAUCCUUGUAUACUCUCUUCCCC